rnacentral:rRNA from 1 species
CCUCAGUAACGGCGAGUGAAGCGGUAACAGCUCAAAUUUGAAAUCUGGGUCUUUCAGGCUCCGAGUUGUAAUUUGUAGAAGAUGCUUCGGGUGCGGCUCCGGUCUAAGUUCCUUGGAACAGGACGUCAUAGAGGGUGAGAAUCCCGUAUGUGAUCGGUUGCUUGCGCCCAUGUGAAGCUCUUUCGACGAGUCGAGUUGUUUGGGAAUGCAGCUCCAAAUGGGUGGUAUAUUUCAUCUAAAGCUAAAUAUUGGCCAGAGACCGAUAGCGCACAAGUAGAGUGAUCGAAAGAUGAAAAGCACUUUGGAAAGAGAGUUAAACAGUACGUGAAAUUGUUGAAAGGGAAGCGCUUGCAACCAGACUUGCGUGUUGUCGAUCAUCCGGGGUUCUCCCCGGUGCACUCGGCUUCACUCAGGCCAGCAUCGGUUUCGGUGGUUGGAUAAAGGCCUUGGGAAUGUAGCUCCUCUCGGGGAGUGUUAUAGCCCUCGGUGCAAUGCAGCCUACUGGGACCGAGGACCGCGCUUCGGCUAGGAUGCUGGCGUAAUGGUUGUAAGCGACCCGUCUUGAAACACGGACCAAGGAGUCUAACAUCUAUGCGAGUGUUUGGGUGUCAAACCCAUACGCGUAAUGAAAGUGAACGGAGGUGAGAACCCUUAAGGGUGCAUCAUCGACCGAUCCUGAUGUCUUCGGAUGGAUUUGAGUAAGAGCAUAGCUGUUGGGACCCGAAAGAUGGUGAACUAUGCCUGAAUAGGGUGAAGCCAGAGGAAACUCUGGUGGAGGCUCGCAGCGGUUCUGACGUGCAAAUCGAUCGUCAAAUUUGGGUAUAGGGGCGAAAGACUAAUC